UAAUGGUCCAUAGUGGAUAUGUCCUGGGAAUGGUAUAUCGUCGAAAGAUCCGUCGCCUUAGGAUGGGACUGCGUCCGAUUAGGUUGUUGGCGGGGUAACGGCCCACCAAGCCAUUGAUCGGUACGGGUUGUGGGAGCAAGAUCCCGGAGAUGGAUUCUGAGACAUGAAUCCAGGCCCUACGGGGCGCAGCAGGCGCGCAAACUUUACAAUGCGAGCAAUCGUGAUAAGGAAACCCUGAGUGCCUGUCGAUGCAGGCUGUUCAUAUAUCUAAAUCAUAUGUGAAGAAAGGGCAGGGCAAGACCGGUGCCAGCCGCCGCGGUAAUACCGGCUGCUCGAGUGAUGGCCACUAUUACUGGGUUUAAAGCGUCCGUAGCUCGACUGUUAGGUCUCUUGGGAAAUCUUCACGCUCAACGUGAAGGCGUCUAAGAGAUACCGGCAGUCUUGGAACUGGGAGAGGUAAACCGUACUUCGGGGCUAGGAGUGAAAUCUUGUAAUCCUCGAGGGACGACCUAUGGCGAAGGCAGUUUACCAGAACAGCUUCGACAGUGAGGGACGAAAGCUGGGGGAGCAAACGGGAUUAGAUACCCCGGUAGUCCCAGCCGUAAACAAUGUGCGUUAGGUGU
rnacentral:rRNA from 1 species